rnacentral:piRNA from 1 species
GCACAAUCGUUAAAUGGUUAGAUCUUUGGU